GACAGAGGGUGCAAACGUUGUUCGGAAUUACUGGGCGUAAAGGGCUCGUAGGCGGCCAACUAAGUCGGAUGUGAAAUCCCCAGGCUUAACCUGGGAACUGCAUCCGAUACUGGAUGGCUUGAAUCCGGGAGAGGGAUGCAGAAUUCCAGGUGUAGCGGUGAAAUGCGCAGAUAUCAGGAAGAACACCCGUGGCGAAGGCGGCUCUCUGGGACGGUACUGACGCUGAGACGCGAAAGCGUGGGGAGCGAACAGG
rnacentral:rRNA from 1 species